UACGUAGGGGGCAAGCGUUGUCCGGAUUUAUUGGGCGUAAAGCGCGCGUAGGCGGCGCGGUAUGUCGUGCGUGAAAUCUCCCGGCUUAACUGGGAGGGGCCGUGCGAAACUGCCGGGCUUGAGGUCGGAAGGGGAAAGUGGAAUUCCGGGUGUAGUGGUGGAAUACGUAGAUAUCUGGAGGAACACCAGCGGCGAAGGCGGCUUUCUGGUCCGAUACUGACGCUGAGGUGCGAAAGCGUGGGGAGCGAUCCGG
rnacentral:rRNA from 1 species